rnacentral:rRNA from 1 species
GACGAACGCUGGCGGCGUGCUUAACACAUGCAAGUCGAACGGAAAGGCCCUGCUUUUGUGGGGUGCUCGAGUGGCGAACGGGUGAGUAACACGUGAGUAACCUGCCCUUGACUUUGGGAUAACUUCAGGAAACUGGGGCUAAUACCGGAUAGGAGCUCCUGCUGCAUGGUGGGGGUUGGAAAGUUUCGGCGGUUGGGGAUGGACUCGCGGCUUAUCAGCUUGUUGGUGGGGUAGUGGCUUACCAAGGCUUUGACGGGUAGCCGGCCUGAGAGGGUGACCGGCCACAUUGGGACUGAGAUACGGCCCAGACUCCUACGGGAGGCAGCAGUGGGGAAUAUUGCACAAUGGGCGGAAGCCUGAUGCUGCAACGCCGUGUGCGGGAUGACGGCCUUCGGGUUGUAAACCGCUUUCGCUCAUGACGAAGCUUUGUGUGACGGUAGUGGGUAAAGAAGCACCGGCUAACUACGUG